UCUUACUUCUCAUUGUUCAGAGAAAUGACUUUUUAUGUAGCCCUAUGUUAUAGUUCAAUUGUAAGAGAUAUUUAUCUUGGUAACAUGAAGCUUUACAACAGCCAUGGUUAAAGCAUGUUAACUUAACUAUGUGCAUUAAUACACUUUGGUUCACAUUUCAUGUAUGUUCAUGAUGAGAUGUGACACAAUACCCAAGGAAGACAAGGAGGGUCCAUAAAGGUUUUGAUCCACACUUGAUGCUACUGUAAGUGGUAUGCAGAGACGGGAAGAUAAAGUUACAUAUAUAGGGUUUGAAAUUAACCCCUUACGGAUCCAUAGCGAGUGAGACCUCUUUCAACUAGUGAAUCCAUAUAGCAAACUGCAUACAGGCCUGAGGGAUUUUGCUGCCAAGUUUUGGAUUAACAUUAAACAAUGAUGAAUAUAAUACAAGUGUAGAGCAAUAAUUGUAACCCUAACCUUAAACUGUGUGACCCUCUAGUCGACCUGAAGUGC
rnacentral:lncRNA from 1 species